rnacentral:rRNA from 1 species
UACGGAGGGUGCAAACGUUGCUCGGAAUCAUUGGGCGUAAAGCGCACGUAGGCGGCCUGUUAAGUCGGGUGUGAAAGCCCCGGGCUCAACCUGGGAAUGCCAUUCGAGACUGCAUAGCUAGGGUGCGGAAGAGGGAAGCGGAAUUUCAGGUGUAGCGGUGAAAUGCGUAGAUAUCUGAAGGAACACCAGUGGCGAAAGCGGCUUCCUGGUCCAGCACCGACGUUCAGGCACGAAAGCGUGGGGAGCAAACAGG